UAAGUUAGAAAGGGCGCACGGUGGAUGCCUUGACACUAGGAGUCGAUGAAGGACGGGACUAACGCCGAUAUGCUUCGGGGAGCUGUAAGUAAGCUUUGAUCCGAAGAUUUCCGAAUGGGGAAACCCACCAUACGUAAUGGUAUGGUAUCCUUAUCUGAAUACAUAGGGUAAGGAAGACAGACCCAGGGAACUGAAACAUCUAAGUACCUGGAGGAAGAGAAAGCAAAUGCGAUUUCCUGAGUAGCGGCGAGCGAAACGGAACAUAGCCCAAACCAAGAGGCUUGCCUCUUGGGGUUGUAGGACAUUCUAUACGGAGUUACAAAGGAACGAGGUAGACGAAGCGACCUGGAAAGGUCCGUCGUAGAGGGUAACAACCCCGUAGUCGAAACUUCGUUCUCUCUUGAAUGUAUCCUGAGUACGGCGGAACACGUGAAAUUCCGUCGGAAUCUGGGAGGACCAUCUCCCAAGGCUAAAUACUCCCUAGUGAUCGAUAGUGAACCAGUACCGUGAGGGAAAGGUGAAAAGCACCCCGGAAGGGGAGUGAAAGAGAUCCUGAAACCGUGUGCCUACAAAUAGUCAGAGCCCGUUAACGGGUGAUGGCGUGCCUUUUGUAGAAUGAACCGGCGAGUUACGAUCCCGUGCGAGGUUAAGCUGAAGAGGCGGAGCCACAGCGAAAGCGAGUCUGAAUAGGGCGUUUAGUACGUGGUCGUAGACCCGAAACCAGGUGAUCUACCCAUGUCCAGGGUGAAGUUCAGGUAACACUGAAUGGAGGCCCGAACCCACGCACGUUGAAAAGUGCGGGGAUGAGGUGUGGGUAGCGGAGAAAUUCCAAUCGAACCUGGAGAUAGCUGGUUCUCCCCGAAAUAGCUUUAGGGCUAGCCUUAAGUGUAAGAGUCUUGGAGGUAGAGCACUGAUUGGACUAGGGGUCCUCAUCGGAUUACCGAAUUCAGUCAAACUCCGAAUGCCAAUGACUUAUCCUUAGGAGUCAGACUGCGAGUGAUAAGAUCCGUAGUCAAAAGGGAAACAGCCCAGACCGCCAGCUAAGGUCCCAAAGUGUGUAUUAAGUGGAAAAGGAUGUGGAGUUGCUUAGACAACUAGGAUGUUGGCUUAGAAGCAGCCACCAUUUAAAGAGUGCGUAAUAGCUCACUAGUCGAGUGACUCUGCGCCGAAAAUGUACCGGGGCUAAAUACACCACCGAAGCUGCGGAUUGAUACCAAUGGUAUCAGUGGUAGGGGAGCGUUCUAAGGACAGUGAAGUCAGACCGGAAGGACUGGUGGAGUGCUUAGAAGUGAGAAUGCCGGUAUGAGUAGCGAAAGACGGGUGAGAAUCCCGUCCACCGAAUGCCUAAGGUUUCCUGAGGAAGGCUCGUCCGCUCAGGGUUAGUCAGGACCUAAGCCGAGGCCGACAGGCGUAGGCGAUGGACAACAGGUUGAUAUUCCUGUACCACCUCUUUAUCGUUUGAGCAAUGGAGGGACGCAGAAGGAUAGAAGAAGCGUGCGAUUGGUUGUGCACGUCCAAGCAGUUAGGCUGAUAAGUAGGCAAAUCCGCUUAUCGUAAAGGCUGAGCUGUGAUGGGGAAGCUCCUUAUGGAGCGAAGUCUUUGAUUCCCCGCUGCCAAGAAAAGCUUCUAGCGAGAUAAAAGGUGCCUGUACCGCAAACCGACACAGGUAGGCGAGGAGAGAAUCCUAAGGUGUGCGAGAGAACUCUGGUUAAGGAACUCGGCAAAAUGACCCCGUAACUUCGGGAGAAGGGGUGCUUUCUUAACGGAAAGCCGCAGUGAAUAGGCCCAAGCGACUGUUUAGCAAAAACACAGCUCUCUGCGAAGCCGUAAGGCGAAGUAUAGGGGGUGACACCUGCCCGGUGCUGGAAGGUUAAGGAGAGGGGUUAGCGUAAGCGAAGCUCUGAACUGAAGCCCCAGUAAACGGCGGCCGUAACUAUAACGGUCCUAAGGUAGCGAAAUUCCUUGUCGGGUAAGUUCCGACCCGCACGAAAGGUGUAACGAUUUGGGCACUGUCUCAACCAGAGACUCGGUGAAAUUAUAGUACCUGUGAAGAUGCAGGUUACCCGCGACAGGACGGAAAGACCCCGUGGAGCUUUACUGUAGCCUGAUAUUGAAUUUUGGUACAGUUUGUACAGGAUAGGCGGGAGCCUUUGAAACCGGAGCGCUAGCUUCGGUGGAGGCGCUGGUGGGAUACCGCCCUGACUGUAUUGAAAUUCUAACCUACGGGUCUUAUCGACCCGGGAGACAGUGUCAGGUGGGCAGUUUGACUGGGGCGGUCGCCUCCUAAAGUGUAACGGAGGCGCCCAAAGGUUCCCUCAGAAUGGUUGGAAAUCAUUCGUAGAGUGCAAAGGCAUAAGGGAGCUUGACUGCGAGACCUACAAGUCGAGCAGGGACGAAAGUCGGGCUUAGUGAUCCGGUGGUUCCGCAUGGAAGGGCCAUCGCUCAACGGAUAAAAGCUACCCCGGGGAUAACAGGCUUAUCUCCCCCAAGAGUCCACAUCGACGGGGAGGUUUGGCACCUCGAUGUCGGCUCAUCGCAUCCUGGGGCUGUAGUCGGUCCCAAGGGUUGGGCUGUUCGCCCAUUAAAGCGGUACGCGAGCUGGGUUCAGAACGUCGUGAGACAGUUCGGUCCCUAUCCGUCGUGGGCGUAGGAAAUUUGAGAGGAGCUGUCCUUAGUACGAGAGGACCGGGAUGGACGCACCGCUGGUGUACCAGUUGUUCUGCCAAGGGCAUAGCUGGGUAGCUAUGUGCGGAAGGGAUAAGUGCUGAAAGCAUCUAAGCAUGAAGCCCCCCUCAAGAUGAGAUUUCCCAUAGCGUAAGCUAGUAAGAUCCCUGAAAGAUGAUCAGGUUGAUAGGUUCGAGGUGGAAGCAUGGUGACAUGUGGAGCUGACGAAUACUAAUAGAUCGAGGACUUAACCA
rnacentral:rRNA from 2 species